rnacentral:rRNA from 1 species
UGAGGAAUAUUGAGCAAUGGGCGCAAGCCUGACUCAGCAACGCCGCGUGGAUGAAGAAGGCCUUCGGGUUGUAAAAUCCUUUUCUGAGGGACGAUAAUGACGGUACCUCAGGAAUAAGUUCCGGCUAACUACGUGCCAGCAGCCGCGGUAAAACGUAGGGGACAAGCGUUAUCCGGAUUUACUGGGCGUAAAGCGCCCGUAGGCGGCUUAACAAGUUGGAUGUGAAAGCUCCCGGCUUAACUGGGAGAGGUCAUUCAAAACUGUUAGGCUAGAGGAUGGAAGAGGAGAGCGGAAUUCCCGGUGUAGUGGUGGAAUGCGUAGAGAUCGGGAGGAACACCAGUGGCGAAAGCGGCUCUCUGGUUCACACCUGACGCUGAGGGGCGAAAGCGUGGGGAGCGAACGG